UUAAGUUAGAAAGGGCGCACGGUGGAUGCCUUGACACUAGGAGUCGAUGAAGGACGGGACUAACGCCGAUAUGCUUCGGGGAGCUGUAAGUAAGCUUUGAUCCGAAGAUUUCCGAAUGGGGAAACCCACCCAUACGUAAUGGUAUGGUAUCCUUAUCUGAAUACAUAGGGUAAGGAAGACAGACCCAGGGAACUGAAACAUCUAAGUACCUGGAGGAAGAGAAAGCAAAUGCGAUUUCCUGAGUAGCGGCGAGCGAAACGGAACAUAGCCCAAACCAAGAGGCUUGCCUCUUGGGGUUGUAGGACAUUCUAUACGGAGUUACAAAGGAACGAGGUAGACGAAGCGACCUGGAAAGGUCCGUCGUAGAGGGUAACAACCCCGUAGUCGAAACUUCGUUCUCUCUUGAAUGUAUCCUGAGUACGGCGGAACACGUGAAAUUCCGUCGGAAUCUGGGAGGACCAUCUCCCAAGGCUAAAUACUCCCUAGUGAUCGAUAGUGAACCAGUACCGUGAGAGAAAGGUGAAAAGCACCCCGGAAGGGGAGUGAAAGAGAUCCUGAAACCGUGUGCCUACAAAUAGUCAGAGCCCGUUAACGGGUGAUGGCGUGCCUUUUGUAGAAUGAACCGGCGAGUUACGAUCCCGUGCGAGGUUAAGCUGAAGAGGCGGAGCCGCAGCGAAAGCGAGUCUGAAUAGGGCGUUUAGUACGUGGUCGUAGACCCGAAACCAGGUGAUCUACCCAUGUCCAGGGUGAAGUUCAGGUAACACUGAAUGGAGGCCCGAACCCACGCACGUUGAAAAGUGCGGGGAUGAGGUGUGGGUAGCGGAGAAAUUCCAAUCGAACCUGGAGAUAGCUGGUUCUCCCCGAAAUAGCUUUAGGGCUAGCCUUAAGUGUAAGAGUCUUGGAGGUAGAGCACUGAUUGGACUAGGGGUCCUCAUCGGAUUACCGAAUUCAGUCAAACUCCGAAUGCCAAUGACUUAUCCUUAGGAGUCAGACUGCGAGUGAUAAGAUCCGUAGUCAAAAGGGAAACAGCCCAGACCGCCAGCUAAGGUCCCAAAGUGUGUAUUAAGUGGAAAAGGAUGUGGAGUUGCUUAGACAACUAGGAUGUUGGCUUAGAAGCAGCCACCAUUUAAAGAGUGCGUAAUAGCUCACUAGUCGAGUGACUCUGCGCCGAAAAUGUACCGGGGCUAAAUACACCACCGAAGCUGCGGAUUGAUACCAAUGGUAUCAGUGGUAGGGGAGCGUUCUAAGGACAGUGAAGUCAGACCGGAAGGACUGGUGGAGUGCUUAGAAGUGAGAAUGCCGGUAUGAGUAGCGAAAGACGGGUGAGAAUCCCGUCCACCGAAUGCCUAAGGUUUCCUGAGGAAGGCUCGUCCGCUCAGGGUUAGUCAGGACCUAAGCCGAGGCCGACAGGCGUAGGCGAUGGACAACAGGUUGAUAUUCCUGUACCACCUCUUUAUCGUUUGAGCAAUGGAGGGACGCAGAAGGAUAGAAGAAGCGUGCGAUUGGUUGUGCACGUCCAAGCAGUUAGGCUGAUAAGUAGGCAAAUCCGCUUAUCGUGAAGGCUGAGCUGUGAUGGGGAAGCUCCUUAUGGAGCGAAGUCUUUGAUUCCCCGCUGCCAAGAAAAGCUUCUAGCGAGAUAAAAGGUGCCUGUACCGCAAACCGACACAGGUAGGCGAGGAGAGAAUCCUAAGGUGUGCGAGAGAACUCUGGUUAAGGAACUCGGCAAAAUGACCCCGUAACUUCGGGAGAAGGGGUGCUUUCUUAACGGAAAGCCGCAGUGAAUAGGCCCAAGCGACUGUUUAGCAAAAACACAGCUCUCUGCGAAGCCGUAAGGCGAAGUAUAGGGGGUGACACCUGCCCGGUGCUGGAAGGUUAAGGAGAGGGGUUAGCGUAAGCGAAGCUCUGAACUGAAGCCCCAGUAAACGGCGGCCGUAACUAUAACGGUCCUAAGGUAGCGAAAUUCCUUGUCGGGUAAGUUCCGACCCGCACGAAAGGUGUAACGAUUUGGGCACUGUCUCAACCAGAGACUCGGUGAAAUUAUAGUACCUGUGAAGAUGCAGGUUACCCGCGACAGGACGGAAAGACCCCGUGGAGCUUUACUGUAGCCUGAUAUUGAAUUUUGGUACAGUUUGUACAGGAUAGGCGGGAGCCUUUGAAACCGGAGCGCUAGCUUCGGUGGAGGCGCUGGUGGGAUACCGCCCUGACUGUAUUGAAAUUCUAACCUACGGGUCUUAUCGACCCGGGAGACAGUGUCAGGUGGGCAGUUUGACUGGGGCGGUCGCCUCCUAAAGUGUAACGGAGGCGCCCAAAGGUUCCCUCAGAAUGGUUGGAAAUCAUUCGUAGAGUGCAAAGGCAUAAGGGAGCUUGACUGCGAGACCUACAAGUCGAGCAGGGACGAAAGUCGGGCUUAGUGAUCCGGUGGUUCCGCAUGGAAGGGCCAUCGCUCAACGGAUAAAAGCUACCCCGGGGAUAACAGGCUUAUCUCCCCCAAGAGUCCACAUCGACGGGGAGGUUUGGCACCUCGAUGUCGGCUCAUCGCAUCCUGGGGCUGUAGUCGGUCCCAAGGGUUGGGCUGUUCGCCCAUUAAAGCGGUACGCGAGCUGGGUUCAGAACGUCGUGAGACAGUUCGGUCCCUAUCCGUCGUGGGCGUAGGAAAUUUGAGAGGAGCUGUCCUUAGUACGAGAGGACCGGGAUGGACGCACCGCUGGUGUACCAGUUGUUCUGCCAAGGGCAUAGCUGGGUAGCUAUGUGCGGAAGGGAUAAGUGCUGAAAGCAUCUAAGCAUGAAGCCCCCCUCAAGAUGAGAUUUCCCAUAGCGUAAGCUAGUAAGAUCCCUGAAAGAUGAUCAGGUUGAUAGGUUCGAGGUGGAAGCAUGGUGACAUGUGGAGCUGACGAAUACUAAUAGAUCGAGGACUUAACCAU
rnacentral:rRNA from 1 species